CAGGUGGAAGUCUAUUUGGUAGGACGCUCGCUUUGGGUGCGAGUUUGUGCAGGUUCGAGCCCUGCUCACCUGACAA